UAUGGGGUCGCACAGAGUUGGACACAACUGACGUGUCUUAGCAGCAGCAGCAGCAGCAGCCAGGUACUUCUAAUUGUAGGUUCUGGAGGACCCUGCUGUAGGGUGAUUUAGUUCAGCUGUCUUGAGAAACAGUCAUAGCUGACAUGUAAGUAGAUUCCAUCAACUUGCAAUCAUUCACAUCAAACCCUGAAUACGGUGCCCUCCUCUACAACAGAGAUGGUGGGAGAUAAUAGAGAGGAGGUGCAGGAAAUCGUGUUUUCUCUGACAGAAGUUAAUUCUAAAUUAAGUACCCCUGAAAGAGAAGCAGGGAAAACAUUUUUACCUGUCAUGCCUCCUUCGAGGACACAAAACAACCGCGUCUGCACCUGGAGCUCUUUUUCUCUUGAGUUGGUCAGACUCCCUCAUGAAGAAUUUUCCAUUCUCUCUUUUUUUUUUUUCUUGCCAGCAUCCUGAAGACGGUGGGGGAGAGGGGGUCUCGAUAUCUGACAGAGACGAGCUGGUUCCCGUUUUGCACAGCAAUGUGGUGAUGUGUAUCACAGACACUGCUGAGCACCGAGGUUGGGAAUUUAUGCUGCGUUUCUGACUUUGUGUGGGUUUCCAUUCACAAUUGCUGCUGGAAUGUUCUACAGACUUUCUUUCCCAAGA